UGUACCCCCCACCCCCGUCACACCAUGGAAGCUGGCAACGCCCGAAGUCAUUACUCCAACUUUUCGGAGAGGAGGAUGCCUAAGGCAGUGCUGGUGACUGGGGUGAAGUCGUAACAAGGUAGCCGUACCGGAAGGUGUGGCUGGAUCACCUCCUUUAUAGGGAGACCUACCCAACUUUGAUAUCGAGGACACACAGUCAAUAGAUAUAAAGAUGGUCAUUCCUAGGUCGGUCGAGAUUGGUAAAUAGCUUUCAAAGUAUUAUUGGUUCAGUAAAUAUAGUAAAGGAAAAAAUUCAGCAACGUGGCGACAAGCCAGACUGCUGAGUGAAAUCUCAGCCAGAACCUUGAAAACUGCAUAGGAAUGCGAAGCAGGCAGACACAGACAUAGAUUGUUGUCAGUGGAAGCAAAUGGUAAAUGGUCAAGCUAAUAAGAGCUGAUGGUGGAUACCUAGCAC
rnacentral:misc_RNA from 1 species